AAACAGCAAAGCUGGGAUUCAAAACUAAGUAGACCCCUAUAGGGUUUUCUUUACUUCAGCUACAUUAUUAGUAUUGUACCACAAUAAGCAAUAAUGUAGUCAAUUUUUUUUUUUUUUUUUUGAGACACAGUCUCGCUCUGUCACCUAGGCUGGAGAGCAGUGGUACUAUCAUGGCUCACUGCAAUCUCGACCUCCUAGGCUCAAGCAAUCCUCCCAUCUCAGCCUUUCCAGUAGCUGGGACUACAGGUGCACACCAGCACACCCAGUUAAUUUUUGUAUUUUUGUUAGAGAUGGGGUUUCGUCAUGUUGUGCAGGGCUGGUCUCGAACUCCUGGGCUCAAGCAUCCCCAUGUCUUGGACUUCCAAAGUGCUGGGAUUACAGACGUGAGCCACUGCACCCAGCUAAUGUAGUCAUUUUAAAGCUUCAGUCUCUUUUAAAACAAGGCCCAUCACCAUGGGAAGAUGCAGUAAGAAGGCCCUCACUAGAUGCCAGAGCCUCAAUCUUGAACUUCCCAGCCUCCAGAGUUGUGAGCCAAUAAACUUCUGUUCAUAAGUUACCCAGUCUGUGUAAUCUGUUAAAACAGCAAAAAAUAGACAAAACAAUCUCCAAGAACCCUCUAUCUUUAUGCUUUUUCAAAUAUUGUACUAUUUUUUUCUGCUACCUUGUUUUCCAUAUCCAAGGGAUCCUUGUUUCCUAAUUCUUUUUCAUACAUAUAUCUUUAUAUAUGUGUAUACAUGUGUGUAUAUAUAUACACAUAUAAGUGUAUAUACAUAUGUACACAUAUAUACAUAUAUUCACAUAUAUGUAUAUACAUGUGUAUAUAUGUAUAUACAUAUAUGUGUGUACACACACACAUAUGUGUAUGCAUGUAUCCUGUUCCUUUCAUCAUUGAAAUAGUCUUUUAGGCUGUGCAUGGUGGCUCAUACCUGAAUCCCAGCACUUUGGGAGGCUCAGGCGGGAGAAUCAUUUGAACUCAGGAGUUUAAGACCAAGCUGGCCAACACAGUGAGACUCUGUCUUCACAAAAAAUAAAAAAUAAAAAAAUUAGCUAGGCAUGGUGGUACGUGCCUGUAGUCCCAGCUACUCGCAAGGCUGACGUGGAUGGAUGGCUUGAGUCUGGGAGAUCAAGGCUGCAGUGAGUUAUGAUCAUACCACUGCACUUCCGCCUAGGCAACAGAGAGAAACCCUGUCACAAAAAAAAAAUUGUCUUUGAUAUCCCUGAAAUUAUAAUUGUGGUGUUUUGCUUGAAAUUUUUCUUUUGUUCUUCAUAUUUUCUCUUUUUAUUAAGAGGUCCUUUGUUUUUCCUUUUUUCUCCAUAUUAAAUGUUUUCCUCAAAUGUUAGCUAAUGAAUCUGUGGCCCAAAUCAAUAUUUAAGAGUAAACAUUUUGUGUGAAUAAGUAAGUUGGUUAACUAAUGGGUUUCUCUGUGUAAUUCUCUUGCUCCGAGCUAGUACUGUGGGGAGGAGCAGAGUAGUACCAGAAAGCCUGUUCUCUAGACUGUUCAUUAUAUCCAGAGAUGUAUUCUGUCAUCUGCUUGGAGCAUAAACUUUGCUUCUGUAUGCUAAGAACUAAGUGGCAAAAGGGAGUUAGAAGAGGCUUUUUCAAUUCAUUUCCACUUUUUUCUCCUUAGGUCAUCUUCUGUGUUUACAUAAUCCCUGUUUGCAGUAGAACACCUUGCUCCUGCUUCAUAUUCCCAUUCUAGAUUCUUGAGCGCAAUUGUUCCUAACAAUAAAUCUCUGAUCUCCUGGAAGGGUGGGAGAAAGGGAAGUGAGGUGAGGCAGUAUAGCAUAAUGGUUAAAAUUCUGGACUUCGGAGUCAGACUGUCUAGAUGGUGGCUGAACUGCUCCUUUUCCAGUCCCAUUUUCAGCUCUAUGGCUCACUAGUUCUGUCAGCGGUUCCUGGCACCAAUAAUUCCUGAGCCCUCAGAGUCCUGGGAGGGAUGGAUCAGUCCAUUUGCCACUGGGGCCCUGUGGUGUUGUGGAUUGAACUGUGUCCCCUCAAAAAAGAUAUGUUAAAGCCCUUACCCCUAGUACCUGUGAAUGUCAACCGUAUUUGGAAAUAGGAUCUUUGCAGAUGUUAUCAGGUAAACUCAGGGUCAUACUAGAUUAGGUUGAGUCCUCAUCCAAUGACUGAUGUCCCUAUAAGGCAGCCAUGUGACAAGUUAAAGGACACAUGGGGAGAACACCAUGUGAUGAUGGAGACAUACACUGGAGUGAUGCAGCUACAAACCAAGGAACACCAAGGACCACCAGCAAUGACUAGAGCUAGGAGAGAGGCAUGGAAUAGAUUCUCCCACAGAGCUGCCAGAAGGAACCAGCAUUGCCAACAUCUUAUUUCAGACUUCUAGCCUCCAGAAUUGUGAGAGAAUAAAUUUUUGUUGUUUUCAGCCUUCCAAUUUGUGAUAAUUUGCUAUGGUAGCCCUAGGAAAAUAAUACAUCUGGAUUCCAGCUUUCCACUCACAUCAUCGUUUUCUCCAUCCUUCCCAUGUCUACAUAUUGUUGUUCCAGAUUAAAGAUAUCUUGAUGUCACAGGUGCUGGGAAUUGUUUUUGUAACUCUUUCUCUUGGUGGCUCUGUGGUGAUUGACUCCCAGGGACAAAAGGAGGCUUUCAAAAAAAAAAAAAGAAAGAAAGAAAGAAAAAAAGCUCCACUCCUCCUCCAGCCAAGGCUACCUGGCUUCAGUUUCUACCAAUACUGCGUUUCUCAAGGAGAAGCCAGGAUAAAUGGACUUGAGGCCACGAGGAGCCAGUGAGUGGUGCCUGGAACACCGUAUGAUGCCCAGAGGAGCCCAGCAGUCAUGCUCUGACAGCAGCAUAUGGUGCGCACUGGAAGAAGGGGAAAAUAAGGUCAGGAAGGCAGACUGGGAGCUUGGAUUCGAGGCUGAAGAACUGCCAUCAAAUGUUUUUGAAAGGUGUGAAAUAAUCAAAACUGUACUCCAUGAUGAUUAAAGCUGGCAUAGUGUGAAGGUGUCAAGCCUGGGUGACUGGGAAAAUGGUGGUAUCAUUAACCCAAAAUGAGAACAUGAAAAUCAGGUUUUAUGUGGAACACGACAAGUUAGGUUUUAGAUGAAUUGAUUUUGAGGUACUGGCAGAAUAUUCUGUUUUGUUCAGGAAGUAGUUGGAAAUAUAAAACUAUAAAGUCUAUUGUUUAAUUCAAUUCUACAAAGAUACACUAAGGACUACGUGUCAGGCACUGAACUAGCCCCAGCCCUUGUUCCCAUGGGACUUAAAUGUAAGAGCAAGUUCAACACAUAAUUAAUGACUACCUGUAUGACGAAUGUUACACAAAAUAAAUCAGGGUGCUAUGAAAUUGCUUAAUACUGAGGCAAUAGAGGUGAAGAGCUAUAGCUAUGGUUGCCUAGUGAUGAUUCCAGGGGUUAUUCUUUGAUACCUGGAUUUUUACUUAAAUUUCUGAAGAUAUGUUUUAUUUGUACCUUAAACACAGAACCAUAUAGAUAUCACAGUAAACUGUGGAAACCUGUGUAUUCUCAUUUUGAGCUUUAAGGGUUAAAGCCCAUCUCACUGCUGCCAACCUUGCACAAAGUAAUUUUUACCAGGCUCAAGUUCUUUGUUCAUUUCUAACAUAAACUUUGUGUUCAAAGUACUAUAAGUAUUCAUUACCUUUGUUUCAUUUUAAAGGAGAAAUGCAGAUUUAUUCUGCCCAAAUAUAAUGUCCUUCCUUAUUCCUUCCACAGUGAGAUGUAGCAUCCCAUUAGUAUUAAACACAGAGGAAAUUUUAAAAUCCUAUUCAGAAUAACAGCAACAUUGUUUUGAAAAGGAGGAAGUCAGCAAGGAGAAUAAGGCAAAUCUGAAUGAGUGAAAAUUGGUGAAGAAAAAGAAUUGACAUAUGCUUUCAGAAGAAAGCAAGUAUGAGAAAAAUGAAAGAGGAGACAACUGAACUUUCAAUGAACUCAUUAACAAUUGUAAAAAAACUGGAGGCAAAAAUGUGCUACAGUCUCAAGAGAACAAUGAAAGACUCCCUCCCCCCGCUCCACAACUAUAAAAAGCUGACAAAAUGAAUACACGAGCCCCACAGUAAAAGCUGAUAUUAGGUAACUUUGAGAACAACUUUAUUUUAUUUUUAUUUAUUUAUUUUUUUGAAAGAGAUGAGUCUGUCUCUGUUGCCCUAGGCUGGAGAGUGCAGUGGCACAAUCAUAGCUCGCUAUAAUAAUCUCAAACUCCUGGGCUCAAAGGAUCCUCCUGCUAAAGCCUCCUGAGUACCUGAGACUAUACCAUGCCCAAGUAAUUAAAAAAAAUUUUGUUUUAUAAAGACAGGAUCUCACUAUAUUGCUCAGGAUGGUCUCAAACUCCUGGCCUCAUGCAAUCCUCCCACCUCAGCCUACCAAAGUGUUGGGAUUACGGGUGUGAGCCAUCAUUCCUGGUCAAGAACAGUUUUAUUUAGGAAACAAGAGAUACAUAAAAUAAAGAAUAAAAAAUUUAAAUAUGAAUUAAGACACACUAGGAACUAUCACUUUGAUUGAAUGCCUAUGUGCUAGAGUCUGUAUGGAACAUUUUACCUAGAUUUUCUAAUUUAAUUCUCACUCCCCUCUUUCAAAGUAGCUAUUAUCUAAUCCAUUUUAAAGUUAGGGAACUUGGAGCUCAAAAAGGUAAAGUAAGGUGCCCAAAGCCCUGCCAUAGGGUGGUAGCAGAGGGGAGAUUUGAUAUCUUUCUGAUUCUAAAGCUCAUUCUUUCCACUAUAGACUUUUAUUGAGAGAGGUGUUACAUGAAAAUUGAUAACUAUUCAGAUCCUUAGGUUUGCUGACUUAUAUUUAAAGGUGUUUUAGGAAAUGCUUUAAGGCACAAAGAGGUAGUAGCUUUCAGAGCAGGAAACAGGAGCAGGCAAGCACAAGCUCGUUUCCCCAAAUUCGACGGGAGCUUUCUCCCAGAAUCUGACAAUAAGAGAGAUGCAGGUCAUUCACAGAUGCUCCUUCCUCAGAGAGAAAGACCAGAAACACUCCUCCUCCUGAGACCAGGAGUAUCUGAAAAUAUUAGAAUUACUUCAAUCUGCCAUGGCCUCCUGACUCCUCCUUUCAACCUAGCCACUGGGGAUUGCUGUAGUUGGGCUAAAACUUUGAAGGCAGCUAAACCACCAUCACCAUCAUUCUUAGACAACAGUGUCCUUCUGAUCUUUAUUUCCUCCAGCAUUAUUAGCAUGAACAAUCUCUCUACUACCUCAAUUUCUUCACCAUACACUCCUUUCACCUCGUUCUCUUAAUUGAAAAUGGGCUCUACUUGGAAACUGGACAGAUGAUCUCUGCUCACCCCUUCUGGUAGAUGUUGCUUGUUCCCCUCCUAUCUCACGUGCUUAAAGUCUGCAGGGCACAGGUGGAGGACAUGGGAAUGUCUGCUUUCUCCUUGAUCAAAGCUGCUAUGUCAGGCUGUCACUUUUUUUUCCUCAUGUAAAAAGCACCCGCCUUUGAGACACAUGUCAUUCAGUUACACUGCUGCCAUCCCUCUGGGUCACUGUCAUCUAAUCACGCACAAGUCUACCCUCUCAUUCAGAAUAAACUGUCAAUUGAGUCAGUCUUCCUCAUCAGGCCAGGCUCUGCCAUCAUCUUGUGAGAAUUCAGUUUAAUGUUAAUAUCUAAUCCAACACCAGGUCCUAAGAGUUCCUUGACCUCCUCCUCUCCAGGGAGCAAUCCCUUCUACUUCCCAUCACCGACUUCCUUGGCCAUAAUCGAAAUCUUGUCACUACCCAGAGCUGUUUUACUUCCAAUAACUUGAAUUCAUACAACCAUUUUCUGACCCAUGUCCUUUUCCUCUCUCUCUUUUCCUGUCAUCUACCCAUGAAAAUCUCCAAUGCCCUGGCACCACUGUUUUCAUAUCCUUGACUAUCUAGUUUAGACUCUGUGGUGCAUCACUUUGACCAUGGUUCACACGCUGGUAUCUUACUUCCCUCCUUCAUUCUCCUACUUUUUCAGACUCCCACUAAAAUGUAAAUAAGCCCCAAACUCCAUCUUCUUGGCAUUACUCCAGAUGCUGAGUAGUGCCGGUAAGAAACAAUACCACAGGAUCUGAACUAGUACAUAUGUGCAACUGCUACCUCAAUUGGAUUCUUAAUGCUAUUCAGCACUCCUCUGUGUUUCAUCAGGAGGCUCUCCCACUCCCUGAGAGGGUUUACAUGCUUACACACUUCACUCAAGCCUCCCAACCAACCAUGGCCCUUCCUCUGCAAAGGCCUUCCUUUUAGAUAGAAAACAGGAACCACUUGAUGAAAGCUUCCUUAACUUCCCACCAUCAAACCUACAAAUGUAUCUGCACUUAGGCCCAACAUUUCCUCCUUUCAAUCUAUCACAAUGGCAGAGCAUGUGGAUUUCCAAGACAAUUUCCUCUACCUGUGCUAGUAUCUUGUUGUUCUCCACCCCUCCUGCCGCCCUCAGAAGUUUACUCCAUUGAUUGUCAUUCUCUUCCAAUUGCCCUCCUUUCUCAUUCCUCCCAGUCUGCAUUUAAACAAAUUAAAACACCUGCUUUGUCCUCCCCUUUGACUUCUAAAUCCCCUGUAGUUACUACCCUUUCUUACUCAUAUCUCAGUCUCAUCUCCCAUAUUCAUUCAUUAACUCUUUACGCUAUUCUUUGAGCUAAAGUCAAUGGGAUGGCUGUUAGUUCAUUACAUGAUUCUUUAGCAGUAUUUGAUUGUGUUGACUACCCAUUCCUUUUUGAAAUGGUCUCUUCCUUGGGCUUCAUGAUACCAGACUUUCUUGGUCUUCCUACUACUUUCAUGUGACUCCCUUGUCAAGGUCCUCUUCUGGGAUCUUCUUACUCUGCUCAUUCUUACACCAUUCCUUGAAUUUUCCAUUGGUGUUUUAUUCAUUCCAUGGCUUCAUUUACUGAAAACUCCCAAGUUUUUAUCACCAGCAACAAGCGCUAUUCCUGAGUUCCAACUAGGGUGACCAACCAUCCUGACUUGCAAGACUAAGGGGUUUCCUGGAACACAGGACUUUCAGUGAUAAAACUGGGAGAAUUAGGCAAUCUGGGAUGUGUUGGUCAUACUAGCCCCUUCCUACUCACUAGACAUGGUAACCUGGAUGUCCUAGAGAUACCUCAAAUAUAAUACAGACUGUUCCCAACUUACAAUUUUUUGACUUUACAAUCAAGCAAAGCAAUACACAUUCAACAGAAACUGUACUUGACUACCCAUACAACCAUUGUCUGUAUUCAAUAAAUUACAUGAGAUAUUCAAUACUUGAUUACAAAAUAGGUUCUGUGUUAUAUGAUUUUGCCCAGCUGUAGGCUACUAUAAGUGUUCUGGAAUGUUUUAGGUAGGCUAGGCUAAGCUAUGAUGUUUGGUAGGUUUAGGUAUAUUAAAUGCAGCUUUGACUUAAAAUAUUUCCAAAUUAUGAUGGGUUUAUCUGGACAUAACCCCAUCAAAAGUUGAGGUGCAUCUGUAUAUACAAACUUGAAUUACCAUUUUCCCCAAACCUCUACCUCUUAUUGUGUCCCUUAUCUCAGUGAAUGGCACCACCUACUCAUGUCAAAACACUAUGAGUCCUUUUUAACAACUGUUGAAGGUAAAUAUAAUAGAAGGAUUUCUGUAUCCCUAAGCACUGAGUUUCCAGUUACAUUUCCUAUUAGGGGAAUAUUCAAUAGGAUUCUUAUAUAGCCUGUCAGCAAUUUCAAAUCUUCUUUAGUGAAAAAAAAAAAAUUAAAAAAUGUAUCAUUCAUUUGAAAAGUUACAGAUCUGUUGGAUAGUGCCAGUGGUGCAAGAUUUUUUUCUUCAAUGCCACAUCCUUCUACUGUCCAAGUUCUGAUGCGAAUUUUGAUCACUAUCUAAUCCACUAUAAAUAUCAUUUAUUUAUUUAUUUUUAUCGAGGCAGGGUCUCAUUGUGUGGCCCAGACUGGUCUCAAACUCCUGGCCUCAAGAGAUCCUCCCACCUCAGCCUCCCAAAGUGCUGGGAUUACAGGAACCAGCUACCAUGCCCAGCCUAGUAUAAAUAUUCUUCUUUAAACAUUUUGGAAUAUUUCUAACAUGCUGUUUAGGAAUGAUUAAUUUUCCUUCCCAAUAAGCUGAAAGAAAGACAUGUUCCUCAAGCAAUGAAACUCUGGAAAACAAUUUGUAUUAACUUGUGAAUGCCUCAGUCUGCAAGACAUAGUACAUGCUUUGUAGGUCAUUAGGAAACAAAAUGGUUGUCUUUCAUAGUUCAUUCUGUAAAUGGCCUGUGGGCCGCAGUUAGCUCCACACAUCUCCUCACUCUGUGUGGGCUCCAUCAAAUAUUGCCUUUAAAUUUGCCUGGACAACUGCACAAAGGAGAAUGAACGAAAGCUUCAGAUUAAGAAUGUACGAGAAGCACAAGACGCAAGACUCUUCAGGCCAAAGGAAGUAAGACAAAAAAGUGACUUCAUGGUGCUCUGGGUUAUUAUAUUUAUAUUUCUUCAUCUUCAUUCAGCAUGAGACAGUAGAUAGGCUGAUAAUAUAAUGAAAAAUUAAGACUAAAUUUCAGGAAGAACUAUCUGAAAAGAAAUCAUUAUUACUAUAGGGCCUGGCCACCAAGGAAAAUGGCAUCCUUUCCCUUCUCUUGAAUUUAAGGAGAUGCUUCUGUCCCAGGGAAUUUAGGUAUAUCAUUCUCUCUCUCUUUUUUUUUUUUUUUUUGAGAUGGAGUCUCGCUCUCCCGCCCAGGCUGGAGUGCAGUGGCGUGAUCUCAGCUCACUGCGAGCUCCGCCUCCGGGUUCACACCAUUCUCCUGCCUCAGCCUCCUGAGUAGCUGGGACUACAGGUGGCCGCCACCAUUCCAGGCUAUUUUUUUUUAUUUUUAAUAGACACAGGGUUUCACUGUGCGUGCUAAGAUGGUCUCGAUCUCCUGACCUCGUGAUCCACCUGCCUCAGCCUCCCAAAGUGCUGGGAUUACAGGCGUGAAACACUGCGCCUGGCCAGGUAUGUCAUUCUUGAACUGGGUGGCUUGCUAUGGUUUCACAACUUAAAGUUUGUUACUAGACAAACAGUUACAGACAUAUUCUCCAUUGCUCAAUGUAUUUUUCUAAGCUCAUGCUUACCAUUUCCACCCGCUUGCCAGCCAUCUUGUGACCACAUUUGUACAUAUUAGUGCUUUCAUCAGGGGGUAAGUGCAUCAAUAAGAGGAGAAGUUGAAAUUAGAUUAGUUAAUUUGCUACUUCAUUAACAGCUGUGGUAAAAAGUCCAAGGAGAAAAAAGAUUGAAACUAGCUAAAAUGAGGGGUUUGUAUUGUAAGUGAAUCUAAAUUAUCUAUGUCCCCUAUUCCUGCGGAUAACUGAGAGUCAGCUGUGCACACAUCUGUGGGUGUUUAUAAACAUUUACCAUCUGUGAGAAGCUUAUGGGGCGUAAAUGGUGGGCUAAUUAGUGAAAUGCUAGUCAUUUCUAAUGACAGUUGUUAUGGAUAAAGAUUUUAUCCAGGUUAAAUUGAUCUCAGAACCUCGAUCACGGGAGGCCACUCUACCUUUUAUGACAAGACUAAGUAGUUACACUAUGCUGAACAUGUCACACAUUAAGGAUGCACCAUAACUAGAUUAGACUGCUAGUUUAUGCAUGUUAAUGAGCUCUGUUCUUAAUAGACUGAAGUGUGGAUUGAGUAUUUGUCAGGGAAAAUGAGAAGUUGUCAGUCUGUUGAAAGGUCAACCAUUUCUAUAGUAAGACAUUUUCAUUUCUGUUCUACAAAUAUAUUAAGUACCUUCCAUUCAGAAAAUUAAGAGCAUAGACAGAAAACUAUGAGAUUCAUAAAUGAAAAGAGUUGUCCAUAUACAUACACACAUAUGUGCAUACAGAUAUAUUUCCCUAACUUCACCAUAUCAGUAACUUUUUCUAAACAUAUCUUUUACUGAUCCAUAUUGUGGGCAAACAUUCUAAACAGGUAAUUUUAAACUAAAUUCAUCCUAUAACCAAAGGGGGGAAAAAAACCAUACUGUAUAAGAAGAGAGUCAUAUUUACUGUGUAAUAAAAAGUAUCUUAAAGUAGAGAUUAUGUUGUAAAAGAGGACAGUGUCAUAGAACAAGUGAGUGGAAGAGUAGGCAAAACUUCAUUCCUUGGGUUCUAAUAAAGUUUGUUAUUAAUUUACAGAAUACAAAUGGAAUUUUCCAAAUUAGAAGGAAUCUUAUUGUGUAGAUAAGGAGAAUUAUGGUCUGAAGCUAACUGGCCUGCUAUUACUUAGCUACUGGUGGAGCAGGGACUGGAAUACUGAUAACCCAACUCCUAAACCUUAGCACCAAACAUUUCAUGACACCACUAUUAACAGAGAAUAGCAAUAUUGUAUAUAAUGUCAAUAGUUUUAGUAAAUGAAAAAAAAACACCCUAUGUAAAAUGUCACUCCUUCCCACACUUUCUAUCCCCCCAUCCCUACUUUAUUUUGUUCUCCUUAUAAGUUGUGGACUUCUAAUGCUGUUUAUUUAUCUUAAAUGUUGUCUGUCUCCUGCCAGAAUAUAUGCCCAUGAGGGCCGGGACACUCGCUUGUUUUAUUUUCUGCUGUACCCCUAGUGCCUAGGAUAGUAUCAUGACAUAAUAUGCGAUAAAUAAAUAUUUGCUGAAAGAAAGUUUUGAUAGAAAUACUUUUUUUCACCAUCACACUAAUAAUUCUGCUAAUGAAGGAAGUAUUUCAAUGCCCAUUUUUAUAAUUUCUUUUGUCAGAAAUUUAAUGGUCACAAAAGCAAAUCACACAGGAGCCUUGGGAAUGUCUUUCAGAAUGUUAGAUAAGGUGUAAUUAGUACCUAAUGAAAAAACAAUAACCAAAUACUGACUACAACAAUAUCACCUGCCAGCAAAAUAAACGAAUGCAGACUUCAAUAAUGAGAA
rnacentral:lncRNA from 10 species